AAAACAUUUUUCCUCCCCAGUAUAGGCGAUGGAAACGGACCCAUAGAGCUAUAGAUAGAGUACCGCGAGGGAAAGCUGAAAGAGAGAUUAAAUAGAACAGUAAAGUCACAUAAAGCAGAGCUUAUAGCUCGUACCUUUUGCAUCAUGGGCUAGCCAGUAGAACCAGGCAAGAAGCACCAUAGUCUGCCGCCCCGAAACUGGGUGAGCUACUCCGCGACAGCCUAUUGCAGGGCAAACCCGUCUCUGUGGCAAAAGAGUGGGAAGAUCGUCGAGUAGAAGUGACAAACUUACCGAACCUAGUGAUAGCUGGUUGUCCAAGACAUGAAUAUAAGUUCAGCUCUCCCGAUUUUUUGAUCCACUCGGCAUGCGCCCUUUGACCCAAAGUAUUAAAGGAGAAGUUACUCGAAGGGGGUACAGCCCCUUCGAGGGAAGAAACAACUUUUUCAUGGAGGUUAAGGAUUAUGAUUCACUGGGGACUCUGCCCUAGUGGGCCUAAGAGCAGCCACCUAUGCAGAAAGCGUCGAAGCUCGAGCAGGACUACACCCCAUUAUACCAGUAAGUAAACCCAAAACCCCAAAUUAGUAUUGGACCCGUCUACUUAAAGUAGAGAAGAUCAUGCUAGUAUGAGUAAUAAGAAGCCAUCAGAGCUUCUCCAGGCAUACGUGUACAACAGAACGGACAAACCACCGAAAAUUAACGGACCCAAAGUAAGAGGGUAAUGAUAUCUAUUUAAGCAACCGGAAGAGCAUUCACACCCACCCGUUUACCCCACACCGGAGUGCCCGAAGGAAAGACAAAAGGAAUAAAGAAGGAACUCGGCAAACUUUAGCCUCGCCUGUUUACCAAAAACAUCGCUCUUGCGAGAAAUUUAGAAUAAGAGGUCCAACCUGCCCAGUGACAUUAUGUUUAACGGCCGCGGUAUUUUAACCGUGCUAAGGUAGCGCAAUCACUUGUCUUUUAAAUGAAGACCUGUAUGAAAGGACUAACGAGGGCUCAGCUGUCUCCUUUUUCCAGUCAAUGAAAUUGAUCUCCCCGUGCAGAAGCGGGGAUUCCAACAUAAGACGAGAAGACCCUGUGGAGCUUAAGGCCCCAGUAUAGCCCAUGUUAAUAAACUCUCAACACAAACCAUAAACUAAAUGAGAACUGCUACUGGGCCUUCGGUUGGGGUGACCAUGGGGUAUAAAUAGCCCCCAAGCGGACAGGGAGCACUACAGGAACUUUCACAUAAAUACAUAACUCCACUCCUCAAAGCAAGAGCCGCAACUCUAACUAACGAAACUUUCGACUCAAAGUGAUCCGGGUAUAUACCGAUCAACGAACCAAGUUACCCCAGGGAUAACAGCGCCAU
rnacentral:rRNA from 1 species